rnacentral:rRNA from 1 species
UACGUAGGGUGCGAGCGUUGUCCGGAAUUAUUGGGCGUAAAGAGCUCGUAGGCGGUCUGUCGCGUCGAUCGUGAAAACUUGGGGCUUAACCCUGAGCUUGCGGUCGAUACGGGCAUGACUGGAGUUCGGCAGGGGAGAAUGGAAUUCCCGGUGUAGGCGGUGAAAUGCGCAGAUAGUCGGGAGGAACACCGGUGGCGAAGGCGGUUCUCUGGGCCUGACCUGACGCUGAGGAGCGAAAGCGUGGGGAGCGAACAGG